GAUGAACGCUGGCGGCGUGCCUAAUACAUGCAAGUCGAGCGAACAGACGAGGAGCUUGCUCCUCUGACGUUAGCGGCGGACGGGUGAGUAACACGUGGAUAACCUACCUAUAAGACUGGGAUAACUUCGGGAAACCGGAGCUAAUACCGGAUAAUAUAUUGAACCGCAUGGUUCAAUAGUGAAAGACGGUUUUGCUGUCACUUAUAGAUGGAUCCGCGCCGCAUUAGCUAGUUGGUAAGGUAACGGCUUACCAAGGCAACGAUGCGUAGCCGACCUGAGAGGGUGAUCGGCCACACUGGAACUGAGACACGGUCCAGACUCCUACGGGAGGCAGCAGUAGGGAAUCUUCCGCAAUGGGCGAAAGCCUGACGUAGCAACGCCGCGUGAGUGAUGAAGGUCUUCUGAUCGUAAAACUCUGUUAUUAGGGAAGAACAAAUGUGUAAGUAACUAUGCACGUCUUGACGGUACCUAAUCAGAAAGCCACGGCUAACUACGUG
rnacentral:rRNA from 1 species